AUUUGAGUAAAGAUGUAUGAGGAAAACAUAAAAAUAAUCAAUGGAAUAAAUCCUGACACUACGUGGAAAAACAAUUAUAGUAAUUUCCACUUCAUCAAAAAACAUUACGCUUCAUUUGUUGAUUGUCAGAGUAUGUUUCAUCCUAUGAACAAAACCACCUUACACAACACUGCUGGAAGUUUUGAAGAGGCAGUUGGUUGCUCAUGACGACCAACCUAUAG